CCUCAAAGGUGAAGUUACACUUUUUCGCCAGCAGGGGGCGUUUAUGUCCGUGAGGCUGUUUUAAGCAAGUCAAAAUGGCGGACAACAACAGCGCUGGACCAUCAAUGGAUUCUUCAACAUCAUUAAAAGAACUGUAUUCACCAGGAGGGAGGUGAAGAGCUGCUCUGGGACUGGGUUCAUUAUCACUGAGGAUGGGGUGAUCGUUACCUGCGCCCACAUUCUCCAGGGGAACAGCUGAGUGGAGGUGGAGCUUCAGAGCGGCCAAAAAAUUCCUGCCACAAUCCAAAAAACGGACAAGGAGGCUGACAUUGCCCUUCUAAAAAUUAAUUCGUUGGUGAGAAUGUGCUUCCUCUGUAGAGAUGGGAGCUGUAGAUGUCAAGCAGAGAUCUUCUGAUGUAGUAGGUGGUGUCAAGGAUCUGCUCAAAUCUGCGUUGUCUUCAUCGCCCUCCCACGGAUGAAGCUGCCCACCCUAAAGUUGUGCGGCCAGGCUCUCGCACAAUAUGGU